rnacentral:tRNA from 1 species
GCCCUGGUGGCACAGUGGUUAAGUGCUUGCCUGCUAACCAAAAGGUUGGUGGUUCAAACCCACCCAGUGGUU